GCGGCAGUGGUGUAAGGCGUAGCAUCCUGGAACGCAGGAGGUGCGGGUUCGAGUCCCGCCUGCUGCA
rnacentral:tRNA from 1 species